UCAGAUGGCCGGGCGGCCGCUGGCAUUUCGGUGCUGGAGGAAAGUCCGGGCUCCAUGAGGACAGGGCGGCGGGUAACGCCCGCCCAGCGCGAGCUGAGGGAAAGUGCCACAGAAAGUAAACCGCCCCGGUAUACCGGGGUAAGGGUGAAAGGGUGCGGUAAGAGCGCACCGCGGUUCUGGCAACAGGACUGGCAGGGUAAACCCCGUCCGGAGCAAGACCAAAUAGGGAAAGCACUAUGGUGUGUCUUCACAUCGCUUUCCGGGUCGGUCGCGUGAGGUGGUGAGUAAUCAUCAUCCCAGAGGAAUGGUCGCCGAACCACGAAAGUGGGGAACAGAACCCGGCUUACAGGCCAUCUGAUCAA
rnacentral:RNase_P_RNA from 2 species